GGAAAGGCGCGCGAUACAGGGUGACAGCCCCGUACACAAAAAUGCACAUGCUGUGAGCUCGAUGAGUAGGGCGGGACACGUGGUAUCCUGUCUGAAUAUGGGGGGACCAUCCUCCAAGGCUAAAUACUCCUGACUGACCGAUAGUGAACCAGUACCGUGAGGGAAAGGCGAAAAGAACCCCGGCGAGGGGAGUGAAAAAGAACCUGAAACCGUGUACGUACAAGCAGUGGGAGCACGCUUAGGCGUGUGACUGCGUACCUUUUGUAUAAUGGGUCAGCGACUUAUAUUCUGUAGCAAGGUUAACCGAAUAGGGGAGCCGAAGGGAAACCGAGUCUUAACUGGGCGUUAAGUUGCAGGGUAUAGACCCGAAACCCGGUGAUCUAGCCAUGGGCAGGUUGAAGGUUGGGUAACACUAACUGGAGGACCGAACCGACUAAUGUUGAAAAAUUAGCGGAUGACUUGUGGCUGGGGGUGAAAGGCCAAUCAAACCGGGAGAUAGCUGGUUCUCCCCGAAAGCUAUUUAGGUAGCGCCUCGUGAAUUCAUCUCCGGGGGUAGAGCACUGUUUCGGCAAGGGGGUCAUCCCGACUUACCAACCCGAUGCAAACUGCGAAUACCGGAGAAUGUUAUCACGGGAGACACACGGCGGGUGCUAACGUCCGUCGUGAAGAGGGAAACAACCCAGACCGCCAGCUAAGGUCCCAAAGUCAUGGUUAAGUGGGAAACGAUGUGGGAAGGCCCAGACAGCCAGGAUGUUGGCUUAGAAGCAGCCAUCAUUUAAAGAAAGCGUAAUAGCUCACUGGUCGAGUCGGCCUGCGCGGAAGAUGUAACGGGGCUAAACCAUGCACCGAAGCUGCGGCAGCGACGCUGAUGCGUUGUUGGGUAGGGGAGCGUUCUGUAAGCCUGCGAAGGUGUGCUGUGAGGCAUGCUGGAGGUAUCAGAAGUGCGAAUGCUGACAUAAGUAACGAUAAAGCGGGUGAAAAGCCCGCUCGCCGGAAGACCAAGGGUUCCUGUCCAACGUUAAUCGGGGCAGGGUGAGUCGACCCCUAAGGCGAGGCCGAAAGGCGUAGUCGAUGGGAAACAGGUUAAUAUUCCUGUACUUGGUGUUACUGCGAAGGG
rnacentral:rRNA from 1 species